AUUAUUAUUAUUAUUAUUAUUAUUAUCAUUAUGGUAUUUAUAUAGCGCCAUCAAAUACCGCAGCGCUUUACAAUGGGUGGACGAACAGACAUGUAGUUGUAACCAGACAAGUUGGACACACAGGAACAGAGGGGUUGAGGGCCCUGCUCAAUGAGCUUACAUGCUAGAGGGAGUGGGGUAAAAUGACACAAAAAGGUAAGGAUACUAUUAGACUAGUAACAGUUGCAGAAGAGGAAUCAGUCAGGAGCUAUUAACAGUUUAAUUGAUACGCUUUUAUGAAGAAGUGGG